rnacentral:rRNA from 1 species
CCCCUAGACGUUCUGGGCUGCACGCGCGCUACAAUAAUACGCACAGCGAGUAUCACCGAGCUCGAAAGGGCAAGGUAAACAAUAGAAAAGGUACUGUAAUGGUUAUAGAUCCUUGUAAUUAUUGAUCUUCAACGAGGAAUUCCUAGUAAGUAUGUGUCAUCAUCACGCACUGAUUACGUCCCUGCCCUUUGUACACACCGCCCGUCGCUCCUACCGAUUGAAUGCUCAGGUGAGCCAUUCGGACUUUCAUCAUGCUGGUUUCCAGUUUUGAUGAAGGAAAGUCUUGCGAACCUUAUCAUUUAGAGGAAGGAGAAGUCGUAACA